AUACCUUUCUCGGCCUUUUGGCUAAGAUCAAGUGUAGUAUCUGUUCUUAUCAGUUUAAUAUCUGAUACGUGGGUCAUUGACCCAUCAUGAUAUUAAAUUAAUUUUUUGUGGGGGAGGGCCAGCUACGGUGGCUUGCCACUGGGGCUCUCGCGCGUCGCCCAUGCGUUGCACUACUGCACGGGUGUGGCACACCCCAA